CGGACGGGUGAGUAAUGUCUGGGAAACUGCCUGAUGGAGGGGGAUAACUACUGGAAACGGUAGCUAAUACCGCAUAACGUCGCGAGACCAAAGAGGGGGACCUUAGGGCCUCUUGCCAUCGGAUGUGCCCAGAUGGGAUUAGCUAGUAGGUGGGUAAAGGCUCACCUAGGCGACGAUCCCUAGCUGGUCUGAGAGGAUGACCAGCCACACUGGAACUGAGACACGGUCCAG
rnacentral:rRNA from 1 species